rnacentral:rRNA from 1 species
CUCUGUGACUCCUACGGGAGGCAGCAGUGGGGAAUAUUGCACAAUGGGCGCAAGCCUGAUGCAGCCAUGCCGCGUGUGUGAAGAAGGCCUUCGGGUUGUAAAGCACUUUCAGUCGUGAGGAAGGUAGUGUAGUUAAUAGCUGCAUUAUUUGACGUUAGCGACAGAAGAAGCACCGGCUAACUCCGUGCCAGCAGCCGCGGUAAUACGGAGGGUGCGAGCGUUAAUCGGAAUUACUGGGCGUAAAGCGCAUGCAGGUGGUUUGUUAAGUCAGAUGUGAAAGCCCGGGGCUCAACCUCGGAAUUGCAUUUGAAACUGGCAGACUAGAGUACUGUAGAGGGGGUAGAAUUUCAGGUGUAGCGGUGAAAUGCGUAGAGAUCUGAAGGAAUACCGGUGGCGAAGGCGGCCCCCUGGACAGAUACUGACACUCAGAUGCGAAAGCGUGGGGAGCAAACAGGAUUAGAUACCCUGGAG